rnacentral:lncRNA from 1 species
AAACACAAUCACGAUUCUUCUACUCGUGUAUCUUCUUCUCGAUUCUACUCAAUGAUUCUUCUACUCGAUUCUACUCAACAACUCUUCUCAUUUCUUUGUUUUUCAUUAAAACCUAAUUCACCUAAUUGCAAGAUAAACACACGCAUCUAGAUCUCUGAUUUUCAGCCUUUCUCUCUCUUUUUUGUGCGGAGAUUCAUCACAAUCAAGAGAAGAAUCAAUGGCGGAUGAACCUUCAAUCACUCGCAGGUCGUUUGAGGUUGCCGCAGAAGUAGAAGAACUUGAAGAUACGAGACAAUCAAAGAAAAAAUUGUGUCAUGAAUGAGAAGGGCUGAUGAAGUUAAAUGAGUGAUUACUUUGUCGAAAACCCAAAGUACAAUGCUGAGACGUUUAGAACGAUAUUUCGUUUAUCCAAAGAGUUAUUUUUAAAAAUUGUGAGAGACAAGAUGCUCAAUUUAAAUGGUUUCAACUAGGUUAUGACGGGAAGUCCAAAAAGAGUUUCAACCCGCUACAAAAAUGCACAUCAGUGAUUUGUCAACUUGCAACCGGUAAUGUUCCCGAUGAAUACGAUAAUAUUCAGGUAUGUUUACUAGGACAUCAUGUGAAUCUCUUGAAUAUUAUUUACAAUGUGAUUAUUAAGUUAAACGGUACAUAGUUUCUACAACGAUCGACUAGACAGGACAAUACAUGUUUGUCUGUCGCACAUGAAGCAAGAUGGCACCAUUUUGAGAUGCUUGAUAGCUAGCAUCGACUGUACGCAUAUUGUUUGGAGAAUGUGUCCGUCGAGUUUUCAAGGCCAAUUUAUGAGAGGUGACCACAAAAAACCGAAAAUCGUGCUCGAAAUGGUGGUGUCAAAUGCUUUACGGAUUUAAGGACCUACAAUAUUGUAUGUUUACUUUGGUGUUCCCGGUUAAACAACAACAUCAAUGUUCUACAUCAAUCACCCUUAUUCAAUAACGAAAUACAUGUAACUUAUGGAUUUAAGGACCUAAACCCUUUAAGAAGUUGAAGGAAUCAACGAGAAAAGAUGUUGAGCAGGCGUUGGGCGUUUUGAAAGGUAAAGGAGAUAUAAUUAAUCGACCGGCACGUUCAGUGAAGCAAUCGAAAAUAAGGAGUUUAGUGUAACCGUGAAUCAUAUUGCACAAUAUAAUAAUAAAGGAUGGGGGAACACAAUAUCACCAGAGUAAGUGAUGGACCCUCCGACCCAGGUAGUCGUUCCUGAUGAUAUUAUCUUGGAGGUGUGAGAUAAGGAAACUUACUUUCGACUACGAUAUGAUCUAGUGAAACACAUUGGUGAUUUAAAUCUCAAUUUUCCUGAUUCUGACGAAGAGUAGUUUUUAUUUUAGUUUUUAUAUAAAUAGGUUGUUUUUUUUUUUUUGUUUUUUUUUUAAUUUGACUUUUGUAUUUAACUCUUUAAAAAUGUUGUUUUUAUUUUUAUUUUUUUUUAUAUUCAAUUUAGGUUAAAAAGACUCAUGGUGGUAGAAAUGGUUCAAGUGAUGGGUGAUGUAAGUGAUUUAGUGAUGAUGUUAUAGAAUUAGGUGGAAUGAGAUGACGCAUAAAAAAUUUGU